rnacentral:rRNA from 1 species
GACGAGCCGUGCGAACGUUAUUCGGAAUCACUGGGCUUAAAGCGUGUGUAGGCGGACCUGUAAGUACCUUGUGAAAUCCCACGGCUCAACCGUGGAACUGCUGGGUAUACUGCGGGUCUUGAGCCACCUAGGGGCGAGCGGAACAAGUGGUGGAGCGGUGAAAUGCGUAGAUAUCACUUGGAACGCCAAUGGUGAAAACAGCUCGCUGGGGGUGUGCUGACGCUGAGACACGAAAGCCAGGGGAGCAAACGGG